UCAAGCUACAAAGGGCGCAUGGUGAAUGCCUUGGCAUCAGGAGCCGAUGAAGGACGUGAUAAGCUGCGAUAAGCUUCGGGUAGGCGCACAUAGCCAGAGAUCCGGAGAUCUCCGAAUGAGGAAACUCACAUGGGAAACCCCAUGUAUCAUAAAGUGAAUUCAUAGCUUUAUGAGGGAACACCUAGGGAACUGAAACAUCUAAGUACCUAGAGGAAGAGAAAGAAAAAUCGAUUUUCUGAGUAGCGGCGAGCGAAAGGGAAAGAGCCCAAACCGAAGAUUUAUCUUCGGGGUUGCGGACAGAACAUAACGUGAAAUUAUUGCUAACCGAACACAACUGGAAAGUUGGACCAUAGGAAGUAAUAGUCUUGUAAGUAAAAGCAAUAAUGAACAGUUCUGCUCCAGAGUACCACGAGACACGUGAAACCUUGUGGGAAGCAGGGAGGACCACCUCCCAAGGCUAAAUACUACCUGAUGACCGAUAGUGAAGCAGUACCGUGAGGGAAAGGUGAAAAGAACCCCGGGAGGGGAGUGAAAUAGAACCUGAAACCAUGUGCCUACAACCGAUCAAAGCACCUUAUGUGUGUGAUGAUGUGCUUUUUGUAGAACGAGCCAACGAGUUACGGUAUGUAGCGAGGUUAAGUACUUAAGGUACGGAGCCGAAGGGAAACCAAGUCUUAAUAGGGCGACUAGUUGCAUGCUGUAGACCCGAAACCGGGUGACCUAUCCAUGGCCAGGUUGAAGCGAGGGUAAAACCUCGUGGAGGACCGAACCACGUUGCUGUUGAAAAAGCAUGGGAUGAGCUGUGGAUAGCGGAGAAAUUCCAAUCGAACUCGGAUAUAGCUGGUUCUCCUCGAAAUAGCUUUAGGGCUAGCGUCGACAAAUGUGAGUAGUGGAGGUAGAGCACUGAAUGGGCUAGGGGGCAUAGCGCUUACCGAACCUUAUCAAACUCCGAAUGCCAUAUACUAUCAGGUCGGCAGUCAGACUAUGAAAGAUAAGUUCCAUGGUCAAAAGGGAAACAGCCCAGAUCGUCAGCUAAGGUCCCAAAGUGUAAGUUAAGUGGAAAAGGAUGUGGGAUUUCUAAGACAACUAGGAUGUUGGCUUAGAAGCAGCCAUUCAUUAAAAGAGUGCGUAAUAGCUCACUAGUCAAGAGAUCCUGCGCCGAAAAUGUCCGGGGCUCAAACUUACCACCGAAGCUACGGGUUCACACUUAGUGUGAGCGGUAGAGGAGCGUUGUAAUCGGGCUGAAGUCGUACCGUAAGGAGCGGUGGACUGAUUACAAGUGAGAAUGUUGGCAUUAGUAGCGAGAUGUAGGCGAGAAUCCUACAGGCCGAAUAUCUAAGGUUUCCUGGGUAAAGUUUGUCUUCCCAGGGUUAGUCGGGACCUAAGGCGAGGCCGAAAGGCGUAGUCGAUGGACAAUUGGUUGAUAUUCCAAUACCACUAUCAUCGUUAUUACCGAGGGUGUGACGGAGAAGGAUAGGAUGUGCUAGCUAUUGGAUGCUAGUCGAAGCGUUUAGGGAGUUAGGGUAGGCAAAUCCGCUCUAACAAUUCUGAGGCGUUAUAGGGAAGGUUCUACGGAACCGAAGUAUCUGAUUCCAUGCUUCCAAGAAAAGCAUCUAGGGAGAGAAGUAGUGCCCGUACCGCAAACCGACACAGGUAGAUGAGGAGAGAAUCCUAAGGCCGACGGAAGAAUUGCAGUUAAGGAACUAGGCAAAUUGACCCCGUAACUUCGGGAGAAGGGGUGCCUACGAAAGUAGGCCGCAGAGAAUAGGCACAAGCAACUGUUUAACAAAAACACAGGUCUCUGCUAAAGCGUAAGCUGAUGUAUAGGGGCUGACGCCUGCCCGGUGCUGGAAGGUUAAGGGGAACACUUAGCGCAAGCGAAGGUGUGAACUUAAGCCCCAGUAAACGGCGGCCGUAACUAUAACGGUCCUAAGGUAGCGAAAUUCCUUGUCAGGUAAGUUCUGACCCGCACGAAUGGCGUAAUGACUUGUGCACUGUCUCAACUGCAAAUCCGGCGAAGUUGUAGUGCGAGUGAAGAUGCUCGCUACCCGCGAUUGGACGGAAAGACCCCGUAGAGCUUUACUGUAGCUUAGCAUUGAAUUUCGGUAUUGUCUGUACAGGAUAGGUGGGAGACUGGGAAAUCAGGGCGUCAGCCUUGAUGGAGUCGU
rnacentral:rRNA from 1 species